rnacentral:rRNA from 1 species
UACGGAGGGUGCAAGCGUUGUUCGGAAUUAUUGGGCGUAAAGGGCGUGUAGGUGGCACUCCAAGUCUGUUGUGAAAGCCCACGGCUCAACCGUGGAACUGCAAUGGAAACUGGGGCGCUCGAGUAUUGGAGGGGGUCGCGGAAUUCCCGGUGUAGAGGUGAAAUUCGUAGAUAUCGGGAGGAACACCAGUGGCGAAGGCGGCGACCUGGCCAAUUACUGACACUGAGACGCGAAAGCGUGGGUAGCAAACAGG